rnacentral:rRNA from 1 species
GACGAACGCUGGCGGCGUGCCUAAUACAUGCAAGUCGAACGCUUCUUUUCCCACCGGAGCUUGCUCCACCGGGAAAAGAGGAGUGGCGAACGGGUGAGUAACACGUGGGUAACCUGCCCAUCAGAAGGGGAUAACACUUGGAAACAGGUGCUAAUACCGUAUAACAAUCGAAACCGCAUGGUUUCGUUUUGAAAGGCGCUUUACGGUGCCGCUGAUGGAUGGACCCGCGGUGCAUUAGCUAGUUGGUGAGGUAACGGCUCACCAAGGCCACGAUGCAUAGCCGACCUGAGAGGGUGAUCGGCCACAUUGGGACUGAGACACGGUCCAAACUUCUACGGGAGGCAGCAGUAGGGAAUCUUCGGCAAUGGACGAAAGUCUGACCGAGCAACGCCGCGUGAGUGAAGAAGGUUUUCGGAUCGUAAAACUCUGUUGUUAGAGAAGAACAAGGGUGAGAGUAACUGUUCACCCCUUGACGGUAUCUAACCAGAAAGCCACGGCUAACUACGUGCCAGCAGCCGCGGUAAUACGUAGGUGGCAAGCGUUGUCCGGAUUUAUUGGGCGUAAAGCGAGCGCAGGCGGUUUCUUAAGUCUGAUGUGAAAGCCCCCGGCUCAACCGGGGAGGGUCAUUGGAAACUGGGAGACUUGAGUGCAGAAGAGGAGAGUGGAAUUCCAUGUGUAGCGGUGAAAUGCGUAGAUAUAUGGAGGAACACCAGUGGCGAAGGCGGCUCUCUGGUCUGUAACUGACGCUGAGGCUCGAAAGCGUGGGGAGCAAACAGGAUUAGAUACCCUGGUAGUCCACGCCGUAAACGAUGAGUGCUAAGUGUUGGAGGGUUUCCGCCCUUCAGUGCUGCAGCUAACGCAUUAAGCACUCCGCCUGGGGAGUACGACCGCAAGGUUGAAACUCAAAGGAAUUGACGGGGGCCCGCACAAGCGGUGGAGCAUGUGGUUUAAUUCGAAGCAACGCGAAGAACCUUACCAGGUCUUGACAUCCUUUGACCACUCUAGAGAUAGAGCUUCCCCUUCGGGGGCAAAGUGACAGGUGGUGCAUGGUUGUCGUCAGCUCGUGUCGUGAGAUGUUGGGUUAAGUCCCGCAACGAGCGCAACCCUUAUUGUUAGUUGCCAUCAUUUAGUUGGGCACUCUAGCAAGACUGCCGGUGACAAACCGGAGGAAGGUGGGGAUGACGUCAAAUCAUCAUGCCCCUUAUGACCUGGGCUACACACGUGCUACAAUGGGAAGUACAACGAGUCGCGAAGUCGCGAGGCUAAGCUAAUCUCUUAAAGCUUCUCUCAGUUCGGAUUGUAGGCUGCAACUCGCCUACAUGAAGCCGGAAUCGCUAGUAAUCGCGGAUCAGCACGCCGCGGUGAAUACGUUCCCGGGCCUUGUACACACCGCCCGUCACACCACGAGAGUUUGUAACACCCGAAGUCGGUGAGGUAACCUUUUUGGAGCCAGCCGCCUAAGGUGGGAUAGAUGAUUGGGGUG